GGGCCCGCACAAGCGGUGGAGCAUGUGGUUUAAUUCGAUGAUACGCGAGGAACCUUACCAAGGUUUAAAUGUAGAACGAUCGAUGUGGAAACACAUCUUUCUUCGGACGGUCUACAAGGUGCUGCAUGGUUGUCGUCAGCUCGUGCUGUGAAGUGUCGGGUUAAGUCCCAUAACGAGCGCAACCCCUAUCUUUAGUUGCCAGCGAUUCGGUCGGGGACUCUAAAGAAACUGCCGGCGUAAGCCGCGAGGAAGGUGGGGAUGACGUCAAAUCAUCACGGCCCUUACAUCUUGGGCUACACACGUGCUACAAUGGCGAGGACAACGAGAAGCAAACCGGCGACGGUGAGCAAAUCUAAAAACCUCGUCUCAGUUCGGAUCGGAGUCUGCAACUCGACUCCGUGAAGUUGGAAUCGCUAG
rnacentral:rRNA from 1 species